GCCGAUGUAGCUCAGCCGGUAGAGCAACUGAUUCGUAAUCAGUAGGUCGGCAGUUCAAUCCUGCCCAUCGGCUCCA
rnacentral:tRNA from 1 species